UAGGAACGGAGGGUAUCCUACCAACAUUAUUAGAACCACCAUUAGUAUUUGUAUCAUGUGCGGUCAGCUGAAUCUGCUUAGCUUCAAGCUCUGUAACUAAACUCCUAACCUGAUCAAGUUCACCCGCUAAGUCCCUCCUAAUACCUUUAAUCUCCGCUCUUGAUGUCAUUCCCCCUAUAUUAAUCCUAAUUCUAUCUCGAAACCUAGAAAUUACAGGUUUAACUGUUGAAUCCAGCUCAGCAUGGUCUCUAGUUAAUCCAUCUGCAUCAGUCUCCCUAGCAGCCUGUUUACCCCUAACAUCCCCACUAGUAUUAGCCUCCACAAUUGGGCUACCACCAAACUUACCCACAUCUCUACCAUCUACAUCUCCCUGUGAUCCAAGGGUAUCUUCCUGCCCUUGUCCACCAUUUAUCAAUUCUACCAGAUCCUGAUCCUGAUUCCUAUCCCUCCCAUCUUCCAAUUCCAAAUCACACGCUUUCAGUUGAGGUUCUUCCACCUCCUGACGGUCCUGCAACCGUUCCGAUUUCUCCGCAGAUUCCGAUUCCCCAGCCUGUACAACAUAACCAUUCGCGUCAUUGCUGCUCACAUCCGGCGCGGCGGAAAUCGGAAUCGAGUCAUCCUUCUUCUGGAUCCUUCUACGUUUCCGCGUAUAAACUUUGAUAGGGCUUCCCCACCUUAACCUUUCUCUAGAUUUCAAAUCGUCGGCAUAUGAAGCCAUACAUGAAAUCAAACCAAAUAACACCACAAACCUGUA
rnacentral:misc_RNA from 1 species